AUUGAACGCUGGCGGCAGGCUUAACACAUGCAAGUCGAGCGGAGAUGAGGUGCUUGCACCUUAUCUUAGCGGCGGACGGGUGAGUAAUGCUUAGGAAUCUGCCUAUUAGUGGGGGACAACAUUCCGAAAGGAAUGCUAAUACCGCAUACGUCCUACGGGAGAAAGCAGGGGAUCUUCGGACCUUGCGCUAAUAGAUGAGCCUAAGUCGGAUUAGCUAGUUGGUGGGGUAAAGGCCUACCAAGGCGACGACCUGUAGCGGGUCUGAGAGGAUGCUCCGCCACACUGGGACUGAGACACGGCCCAGACUCCUACGGGAGGCAGCAGUGGGGAAUAUUGGACAAUGGGGGGAACCCUGAUCCAGCCAUGCCGCGUGUGUGAAGAAGGCCUUAUGGUUGUAAAGCACUUUAAGCGAGGAGGAGGCUACUGAGACUAAUACUCUUGGAUAGUGGACGUUACUCGCAGAAUAAGCACCGGCUAACUCUGUGCCAGCAGCCGCCGUAA
rnacentral:rRNA from 1 species